CUAUGGGUGGAAGCGUUGUGCUGUCAGCCCCAUUCCCCAUCCUCUGGGGUAGGAAAUGGAGCUGGAGCUCAAUCAUACCUACGUGAUAAAGCCUCCAGAAAACUCCUUGAAAGACAGGACUUGGAGAGCUUCCGGGUUGGCGAACACAUCCAUGUUCCAGGAGAGUGGUGCACCCCAACUCCACAAGGACCCUUCCAGACCUCACCCUGUGUAUCUUUUCAUCUGGCUGUUCAUUUGUGUCCUUUAAAGUAUCGUUUGUAAUAAAUCAGCAAUAGUAAGAAAACUGUUUUCCUGGGUUCCAUGAGCUGUUCUAGCAAAUGUUCAAACCUGAGGAGGGAGUUUUGGGGACCUCCAAUUUAUAGCCAGUUGGUCAGAUGCAUAGGUGAUGCUUGGCCUUGCACCUGGGGUCUGACGUGGGGGUGGUCCGAUGUGACUGAGCCCUUAACCUGUGGAGUCUGGUGGUCACUCUGCUUAGGGCUUCUAUGCCUUUGUAGUGUCCUUCUAGAAGCCCUUUCCUUCCUCUUGUCAGCUCAGAAAACUUUUCUUCCACUUCCCUUCUUCUAAGCCAUCCCUUACGUCUCCUUUCCAGCCGACCAAGAGCAGAACCACGGCUGGCUCCACUGCCACCAUGCUGUCCCACACUGUCUCCUCAGGAUGUAUUCAGAUAUCCAGCCCUCCCCCCAGUCUAGGAGCCCUUUGAGGAAAGGGAUGCUGGCCUAGUCAACUCUUUCCCAGCACCAGGCACAGCAUCUGGCACGUUCCAUCUUUUUCAUGGACUCUCCCCAGGCGGCCUGACCUUCCCUCCUCUGAACCAGUGCAUUUCUUGUCUGCAUCAUGUUUGCCCUAAUCAGAUAUCGGCUUAUUUCCAUCUUUUAAAAAAUGCUUUAUUUCUCUGGCAGGCUUCGUUGGAAUCACAAUUUUCAUUCAUUUAGUAACUGUUG
rnacentral:lncRNA from 1 species